rnacentral:rRNA from 1 species
GUGAACGAGCGACGCCGCGUGGAGGAUGAAGGCCUUCGGGUUGUAAACUCCUGUCGAGGGGGAACAAGGGUGCGCGAAGAGCGUACCUUGAGUGAUCCCUGGAGGAAGCACGGGCUAAGUUCGUGCCAGCAGCCGCGGUAAGACGAACCGUGCGAACGUUAUUCGGAUUCACUGGGCUUAAAGCGCGUGUAGGCGGGUCGGCACGUCGAGUGUUGAAAUCCCCCGGCUCAACCGGGGAAGUGGCCUCGAUACGACCGACCUGGAGGGAGGUAGGGGGAGCCGGAACUUCCGGUGGAGCGGUGAAAUGCGUUGAGAUCGGAAGGAACGCCCGUGGCGAAAGCGGGCUCCUGGACCUCACCUGACGCUGAGACGCGAAAGCUAGGGGAGCAAACGGGAUUAGAUACCCCGGUAGUCCUAGCCGUAAACGAU